UCCCUAUCAACUUUCGAUGUUUGGGUAUUGGCCAAACAUGGUUGCAACGGGUAACGGAGGGUUAGGGCUCGACCCCGGAGAAGGAGCCUGAGAAACGGCUACUACAUCCAAGGAAGGCAGCAGGCGCGCAAAUUACCCAAUCCCGACACGGGGAGGUAGUGACAAUAAAUACUGAUACAGGGCUCUUUUGGGUCUUGUAAUUGGAAUGAGUACAAUUUAAAUCCCUUAACGAGGAACAAUUGGAGGGCAAGUCUGGUGCCAGCAGCCGCGGUAAUUCCAGCUCCAAUAGCGUAUAUUAAAGUUGUUGUGGUUAAAAAGCUCGUAGUUGAACCUUGGGCCUGGCUGGCCGGUCCGCCUCACCGCGUGUACUGGUCCGGCCGGGCCUUUCCCUCUGUGGAACCCCAUGCCCUUCACUGGGUGUGGCGGGGAAACAGGACUUUUACUGUGAAAAAAUUAGAGUGCUCCAGGCAGGCCUAUGCUCGAAUACAUUAGCAUGGAAUAAUAGAAUAGGACGUGUGGUUCUAUUUUGUUGGUUUCUAGGACCGCCGUAAUGAUUAAUAGGGACAGUCGGGGGCAUCAGUAUUCAAUUGUCAGAGGUGAAAUUCUUGGAUUUAUUGAAGACUAACUACUGCGAAAGCAUUUGCCAAGGAUGUUUUCAUUAAUCAGGAACGAAAGUUAGGGGAUCGAAGACGAUCAGAUACCGUCGUAGUCUUAACCAUAAACUAUGCCGACUAGGGAUCGGACGAUGUUAUUAUUUGACUCGUUCGGCACCUUACGAGAAAUCAAAGUGCUUGGGCUCCAGGGGGAGUAUGGUCGCAAGGCUGAAACUUAAAGGAAUUGACGG
rnacentral:rRNA from 1 species